rnacentral:rRNA from 1 species
AUGCACGCUGGCGGCGUGCCUAAUACAUGCAAGUCGAGCGAACAGACGAGGAGCUUGCUCCUCUGACGUUAGCGGCGGACGGGUGAGUAACACGUGGAUAACCUACCUAUAAGACUGGGAUAACUUCGGGAAACCGGAGCUAAUACCGGAUAAUAUAUUGAAUCGCAUGGUUCAAUAGUGAAAGACGGUUUUGCUGUCACUUAUAGAUGGAUCCGCGCCGCAUUAGCUAGUUGGUAAGGUAACGGCUUACCAAGGCAACGAUGCGUAGCCGACCUGAGAGGGUGAUCGGCCACACUGGAACUGAGACACGGUCCAGACUCCUACGGGAGGCAGCAGUAGGGAAUCUUCCGCAAUGGGCGAAAGCCUGACGGAGCAACGCCGCGUGAGUGAUGAAGGUCUUCGGAUCGUAAAACUCUGUUAUUAGGGAAGAACAAAUGUGUAAGUAACUAUGCACGUCUUGACGGUACCUAAUCAGAAAGCCACGGCUAACUACGUG